rnacentral:misc_RNA from 1 species
CUGAAGCACCACAUCACCAACAGCUUCAAUAUUAGGAAGCAGGUUCAUACAAAAUGAGCACGACUCUUGUAAAGGUUGGACCGUGGGGUGGACAAGGUGGCAAUCCUCAAGACAUCGACGUGCUGCCUGAUGAACGCCUAACAAGCAUGACGAUCCGCAGCGGUGACGUCAUUGAAGCUUAUGUUGACACUGCUGGGAACGACUACACAACAGAUCUUUGGGGUGGUGGAAACGGGAGCUUUACUAAGAUUGAAUUAGGUGACGAUGAGUAUGUGAGGGAAAUUUCUGGCACUUACGGCCCUUACGACAAUGUACUGAAUCUGGUGACGUCACUUAAUAUUAUUGUCACCAACGUUGCUAGCUUUUCAUUUGGAAACGCACAAGGAG